rnacentral:rRNA from 1 species
CCCUUAGAUGUUCUGGGCCGCACGCGUGCUACACUGAGUAAUUCAAUGGGUAAGGGAACGCUAGAGCAUUACCUAAUCUUGAAAUUUGCUCGUGAUGGGGAUCGACGGUUGCAAUUUUCCGUCGUGAACGAGGAAUACCUUGUAGGCGCAUGUCAUCAUCAUGCGCCGAAUACGUCCCUGCCCUUUGUACACUCCGCCCGUCGCUCCUACCGAUUGAGUGAUCCGGUGAGGCUCUGGGACCUGGACGGAAAGAGCGUUUCGCUUGUUCUGUUUGGGAAACUUGGUCGAACCUUAUCAUUUAGAGGAAGGAGAAGUCGUAACA